GGUCGACGAUUCCUACGGGAGGCAGCAGUGGGGAAUCUUAGACAAUGGGCGCAAGCCUGAUCUAGCCAUGCCGCGUGAGUGACGAAGGCCCUAGGGUCGUAAAGCUCUUUCGCCUGUGAAGAUAAUGACGGUAGCAGGUAAAGAAACCCCGGCUAACUCCGUGCCAGCAGCCGCGGUAAUACGGAGGGGGUUAGCGUUGUUCGGAAUUACUGGGCGUAAAGCGCGCGCAGGCGGCCGACUAAGUCGGAUGUGAAAGCCCCGGGCUCAACCUGGGAAUUGCAUUCGAUACUGGUCGGCUAGAGUCUGGUAGAGGUAAGCGGAAUUCCGGGUGUAGCGGUGAAAUGCGUAGAUAUCCGGAGGAACAUCAGUGGCGAAGGCGGCUUACUGGACCAAGACUGACGCUCAGGCACGAAAGCGUGGGUAGCAAACAGGAUUAGAUACCCUGGUAGUCCACGCCCUAAACGAUGUCAACUAGCCGUUGGGUCCCCUUAAUAGGACUUGGUGGCGAAGCUAACGCGUUAAGUUGACCGCCUGGGGAGUACGGCCGCAAGGUUGAAACUCAAAGGAAUUGACGGAAUCUCUAGA
rnacentral:rRNA from 1 species